UUGUUAAUAAAUUUAUCAUUAUCACAAAGUUGAGAAAAAAAGGUGUCGGGAACGUUUUCUCUGGUAUCCAAAUACUGCCGUAGUGUAUCGAGGGAGAUAACUACCUCUGACAGAUUUGGAAGAUGCACUUUCAUUUCCAAGGACUCCUCGUCACUCUCAUGACUAGCAUCAUUGCCUAAAAUAUUCUGAACUAAUUCAUCCUCUGAUCGUGUUUGCACAACCACAAUAUUUUCAUUGACAUUCACAAUAUCAUCAAACGAUAAUGCAUUGUCCGCAAAUGUCGCCGUAAGUAAAGCUAAUGGAAUAUUGUCGUCCUCUUCAAACUCAACAACAUCGGGUUUAGCAAGUUCAAAUCCAGCCUUAUUGAAGCAGUUGAUAAUCUAAUUAGAUUGAGUUGAUAAUGCAAGUCUGACUGACAUCAUUUCAAGCCGUCUUGAGACUCUGUAGAAACCGCUAAUGAAACAAUUACACUUAUAAUGAUACAAACUUCAUUAAGGGGUGCAGUUGCAACGCUUAAUGAUACAAAUUAUCGCAUUAACGGUCCACAGUAUUAACCGUUAAAGGUCAUAGUCCAAGGAAACGAUUUUUUUUAAAUUUUGUUUUCCACAAAAAUAUGUUCUUCUUUAAUUACUUAAUAUAUGUAAAUAAGUCAUUCAGAAAAAAAUUGUAGUGUAACAGACGCUACAGAUCGCCAUAUGUUGCUGUGGUGUGAAGUAUCAAAAUAGUAUGAUGAUUUAUCUCCCUUGCUUGAUGACAUCAAAAGAGACCAGCUUGACGCAAAAGUGUAUUUGUUUACACUAACAACUGCAGGUAUUACCCACCAAAAUGUUCAACGUGCUUGCAUUCAACUGUAAUGUAGCAAGUCAGUUGUUUCAAUGUACUUUUCUCCAAAGGAUCCAACGUUUAGAAAGCCUUGGGUGUGAAAUCUACAUCGAGAACACAGAACUCCAAUCUAAUUAAAAUCAGAUCCUAGGAUACGCUCACAAUCGCUAUAAUGGGAUCUGACAUAACCCCAUAGGGUUUCAUGUCAGCAUGACCUUUCGCUUGGAAUAUUUAUGAGAACUAUCAGCCAGUCAGAUUGCACCAUACAGACAAUGAUGGCUAUUUAGGCAGUUCCUGGCAAUUUGUAAACAAAUUUGCUGUAAUCUCUCUCCCACGAAGUUUAUUCCACACUGUAAAAUUGUAUAUUCUCGCAUAACGAAUUUUAAACUUUCGCAAUAAUGCCUAAUCUAUUCCGUUCAUACAAACAACAAAACGUACGAUAUGAAAUACACCCAAAUUGAAUUAAUUGUGAAUUCCGAUUUAUGUAUAAAUAGGGAUGGGUACGAUUUGAAUAGUUUUCAAGAUGGUUUACUUAAAUAACGCGAGGAAUAUAACGCCAGUCGACGUCAACGUGCAUUGUGACGUCGCAUCUAGCUGCGAUAUGUUUUCUUUCAAACCAAAGAAUUGAAGCCACUUUCCUUGAAUUGUGAACACCGACGAUUUCAAAGCCGACGCACAGAUUGGCAGGCAUGAAGUUCAUCUGAACAUGAUCCCUAAUCGGGUUAUGUCAGAUCUACUUACGCAAAGUAUACGGCGCGGAUCUAAGAAGUCUGAUUUUAAUUAGAUUUACAGAACUCGAAGUUGUAUGACAGUCACUUUAUGCUAUUACAGGGUUGAUGAGGAUCAAUUUCGUUAUCAUAUACAGUAAAACUCGAACAUAGCGAACACGGAUAUAGCGAAAUUACGGCUAUAGUGAAGUGAAAACGAUUUUCCCCGGCAAAUUCUUUAUAUAUUCUAUAUAUUCUAUAUAAAAAUCUGUGUCUAUAACGAACACGGAUAUAGCGAAUUUACUUUUUUUUUCAUUUUAAACUUUUUGUGUAGUACCCUCUGCUUUGGCAAAAAAUAAUGGGUAUAAGAAAUUAAAUCUUCGACCAGAUGCAGUUCCAACUAUUUUCAACUUCACACAAACUGCAAGCACGGUGAAUACGAGAAAAUUCUGUAAAACGUUUACUGUAUAAUAAUGGUAACUAGUUAAAUAUUCAAAAAAUUUACAUGAUUUCAUUUGUUUAAUCAAAGGCCUGAGGGGCCUGAGAGUCGACUCACACUUCAUUGUCAACUGGAAUAGGUAAUCUUGCAAGAUAGUAGUAUUCAUUGGCUGAGGAUGACGAACAUCGUGUGUGUGAGUUCGCAGAUGCACACUUCUUUUAGCAGGAUUUAUACUUUAAUGCAUCAUGCCUGUGUAAAGUGACUAAAUUUGACUAAGUCAUGACCACUGCCAUUUAAAUGACAUGUACAUAUCCAACAUGGAUGUAAAGUGUCAUUGUUAAACAAUUCAUGACGUACAAAUGCUAGGAAUUGGAGGAAAAUCAUUAUAUAGUCAUAUAGUGCUUUGUAUCGCAACAUAAAACCCUCAAAUAAGCAUCACAGCGGUUGUAAAAAGAUACCAUCCAACAAAAAAGCUUAGCAAAUCAAUUCCUCAAGCUUAAACUUUAGUCAAUGUUACAAUGACUAUGCAUUAUUACUAGACUGACUCUCAGUGCAUAUUUUGGGAGUUUAUUCAGCAACUAGUCAUAAAAUGCUACCAUCAAAAUAAUAAAGAAAACAAGAAAUGUUCGUCCAACAAUACAAACAUACAACAAUACCCUCCCCCACCUCCCCCAUCCUUACGUGGUACAGAAUUGAAAAGGGUUAUACACAUGCAUCAUUUAAUUGAUAUUAGUACCAAACCAAUGCAAGUCAAGAUGAGUGGACAAUAUCUUCCUAUGUCCAGAAUGGACUGACCCUUGGCCUUUGACCAUGUGGCCUAAUAUAAAUAGGAGUCAUCUACUCCAUAGGAUGUACCAGUGUACCAAGUUUGGUGUCAAUCAAGCUAAUGAUUCUUGAAAUAUAGGAGACAAUAUAUUACUAUGUCCAGUUUGACCCUUGAUCUUUAACCAUGUGACCUCAAAAUCAAUAAGGGUCAUAUACUACUUAAGAGCCAUUCUCUGUAAGCAUCAAAACAUGUGGAAAACGACCGACACGGAUUUUGACGAAAUUUUACACAAAGUAUACAUACUUCAGUACUUUAAUCAUGACACCUUUAAAAAUGGGCUUUGACUCGUGUUUCCAUGGCAACAAGACAUACAAUUUUGUGAAAGACGUGCCCCUUAGUAAAUAUUGAAUUUUCCUUUAUAAAAAAUGUGUAUAAUCAUUUUUCAUUUAAUUUCCAUUGCUAUUUAAUAGAGCUAUGUUGUGUGUAAUUUUUAAAAAUAAAAUUAAUUUGCUGCAAUGCCUUAACAUGAAAUAUAUGCCCUUAAAUACCCCAAAAUCCCACUGAAAAUGAGAGAAAAUUAUUUCAAUUAUGUGCAGAAACACAACCACUGGUGGAUUGUUCUUAUAUUGAUAAAUGUGUAUCGUAUCUAUUAGAAUAACAUAUCAAAAAAUUAGAAAUGUCAUAUUUCAUUUAAGAAAAUAAAUUGAUUUUAAAAUUUGCGCUAUUGCGAAAAUAUGCGAGUUUUUCCGAAAUCUAGAUCACCUCGACUCUUGACUGCAAUGCGUAUUCCAAGUAUAUUCAUGAUCAAGACAAGUUACAUCCCUUUUCUGAAGUGAAAGUAGAAAUUCAUGAGUGGUGAUUUGGAUAUUUUGAGCUGGUUUAAGUCUUUAAAUCAACUAGAAUUUUACAUUUGAUACUUAAGUAUUUGUCGGAGAACGUUAUGCUUUCGAUGGAUAGCUUUCAAUGAUGAUGUAUCAGUGGAUUUACGAUGCGAUCGUGAUUACAACAGGGAGAACUUGUAUGCAAAAACUUCUGAGAAGAUUAGCCGAAAAAGAAACGCACAGGUGGCAUUAAUUGUGUCCAAUGCUGUUGUCAUAACAAUUCAGAUCCCUCUGACAGUCAGGGGUGCAGAUUCAAGAUUGGAUGUUCUAAAUGAAAUUAAGACAGAAAUAUUUUCUGUGAGGAAUGUAUAAGACUCAGCAUCAUCAUUAUGACAACACAGUUGUGGAUCAUUAAAAUUUAAGUGGAUCCAACAUGGCUGGGACUUGUUUAAAGAUUGUUCAGCUGGAAUGUGUCCACUGACAAAAUCACAGAGGCUGAAACUGUUGGAGAAUAUUUGAUGACCUGUUUUUGAAUUUCUCAUCCCCUUUCAUGGAAGGAACUGUACUCAACUGAACACUGCAACUGUACAUGUCCAUAGUUUAAAGAAAAAUACUAAUAUAUAUGCAAAAACAAAUAUAUUGUGUUAAUAGUCAUUGUUUACAAACUCAUUUUUAGAUAAAGCUUGAACAUAUAA